UUUGGAGCCGGUAGGUCAAUUUUGGCUCUAGCUAAAAUGUGAGUCAUCGGCUUGCAAGAUACACGUCCUUCCUCUAUUCUUCCUUAUCCGGUCACCGCUUCCUGCAUCGAAUUACGUUACCCCGCUUCAUAUCGAAGCUUAUACAGGGAUGGGAUUCAGUUGAUUCCUGAUUACUCUCUCGGAGGUGUCUGCCUCUACCUCCAUUGAAGCAAGCAAGCAGACAUUCCAGUUUAUGCCGAUGUUGACGGUGCCCUAAUCAUAUCAGUUACCGACGAUAUUUCAUCACCAACUCCAGUGCUUCUCCAACCUUUUGAUAAUCUCGAUCAAAACCCAGUAUGCCAUAUUCAUUCUUUCCAUUUGAUUAGACUUUCUUCGUUGAGAUCGUCGGCCCUCAUGCCGCCGACUGCCCAACGCCACCACUGAUGGUCUUCACACUUUCUACAGAAAGUUAUGUUUUUUAAGCUUAUCAGAAUUGAACUCGGUUUGGAUUCCUCUUUAUCUUCGACUCAUAUUUUCCAAUGUUUUGAGGCAGUGUCUGGUCGACGGUUUUUCGAUUUGUAUACAUCUAAGUAGAAGGUGAAGCCUGUUUACCCAGAAUGUUAUAUUAAAUUUGGCGAGUUUAAAAGUAGAUGGCGUAUGUUCUGCUCCAUGUGACACUCCUGUAUUGAAACUGCUAUGAUGCCUGAAGAUUACAGACAAAAUAAGGUUAGUCGCCACAUGCUUCACCUGGCACAAAAUGGCUAAAGAGCAAAUACCUGAGCAUCCUAUUUUGAGAUCAGUUGUAGAUAUAUUAGGGAAAACUCCUUCAACAUUGAUCAUUUUUGCUAUAUCUGCCAUAAUCAAAAUCAUUCUAUAAAUUAAAUUAUUUAGAUAUGAAGUUUGUUUUGAUGUAGGCAAGCCUUUUGAGAGGUGAGUAUAACACAGUGAAUAACUAUGAGAUGGUUGGAUUUGACUUUUGAGAAAUAAAUUAAGCUAACAAUGUAAGUUUAAACACUAAUGUACUUUAAACAAUAUCAGUGUAAAUUAAGCUGAAAAUGUAAGUUUAGAUGAAAAUCAUCAAAUAGUCAAAAAAAAACCAUUCCUUCAAACAUGUUCUAUUUCAUUAGAGUAAACACCAAAAAUAGCAACAAAUCUAAAAGAAUACAUUCCGACCCAUAGAUACAUCCAGAUACAAGUGAUAAUUGUAAACUAUUCACAUAGGUACAUCCAUAUACAAAUAUCUACACAACAUAUUUAAGAGUAAAUUACACGAAUACUCCCUAUGGUUUUGGGUAAUUUGCGCGUUUGGUCCCUAACUUAUUUUUUUAACUCAAAAGGUCCCUACUUUUUGUUUUUGUUACGCACUUGGUCCCUGUCUUUCCUAAAAAAAGACUAUUUUGCCAUUGUUUUUUUGAUUUAUUUAAAUAAACACACCUCCAAUCCCAUCCUCUCAUCUUACCUUACCCACGCCACUAUUUUUCACUAUUUAAAUAACAGUCUUUUUAGGUAAGAUAGGGACCAAAUGUGUAACAAAAAUAAAUAGUAGGGACCAAGCGCGUAACGAAAACAAACACUAGGGACUUUCCGACUUAAAAAAAUAAGUUAGGGACCAAGCGUGCAUAUUAACCCAAACCAUAGGGAUCAUUCGCGUAAUUUACUCCAUAUUUAAAUAUAGGUAUAGCU